rnacentral:rRNA from 1 species
UACAGAGGGUGCGAGCGUUGUUCGGAAUUACUGGGCGUAAAGCGCGCGCAGGCGGCUUCCUAAGUCUGUCGGUCAAAUGCCGGGGCUCAACCCCGAGCGUGCCGGGGAUACUGGGAGGCUGGAGACAGGUAGAGGCAAGCGGAAUUCCGGGUGUAGCGGUGGAAUGCGUAGAGAUCCGGAAGAACACCGGAGGCGAAGGCGGCUUGCUGGACCUGGUCUGACGCUGAGGCGCGAAAGCGUGGGGAGCGAACAGG